GGACGCAAGUCUGAUCCCAGCCAUUCCGCGUGCAGGACGAAGGCCUUCGGGUUGUAAACUGCUUUUGUACGGAACGAAAAGGUUUCUCUUAAUACGAGGGGCUCAUGACGGUACCGUAAGAAUAAGCACCGGCUAACUACGUGCCAGCAGCCGCGGUAAUACGUAGGGUGCGAGCGUUAAUCGGAAUUACUGGGCGUAAAGCGUGCGCAGGCGGUUAUAUAAGACAGAUGUGAAAUCCCCGGGCUCAACCUGGGAACUGCAUUUGUGACUGUAUAGCUGGAGUGCGGCAGAGGGGGAUGGAAUUCCGCGUGUAGCAGUGAAAUGCGUAGAUAUGCGGAGGAACACCGAUGGCGAAGGCAAUCCCCUGGGCCUGCACUGACGCUCAUGCACGAAAGCGUGGGGAGCAAACAGGAUUAGAUACCCUGGUAGUCCACGCCCUAAACGAUGUCAACUGGUUGUUGGGUCUUCACUGACUCAGUAACG
rnacentral:rRNA from 1 species